rnacentral:rRNA from 1 species
GCGACCGGCGCACGGUGGAGUAACGACGUAUCCAACCUGCCCUUUACUAUGGGACAGCCCGUCGAAAGGCGGAUUAAUACCGUAUGUUGUCAUGUUGAUGCAUAUUUUCAUGACCAAAGGCUUCGGCCGGUAAAGGAUGGGGAUGCGUCUGAUUAGCUUGCCGGCGGGGUAACGGCCCACCGGGGCGACGAUCAGUAGGGGUUCUGAGAGGAAGGUCCCCCACAUUGGAACUGAGACACGGUCCAAACUCCUACGGAAGGCAGCAG